AUGGACAGCUCCCCGAGACCUCAGUACCUCGAGGAUCAAGAAGCCCAGACCAAGGCAGGCGGAAAGCGAGGAGGGUGGAUAACUCUUCCCUUCAUAGUUGCCACCAUGCUUGGGCUGGGACUGGCCGUCAACGGGACGACCAGCAACAUGCUGGUGUACCUGCUCAAGGAGUACCACGUGGACGGCGUCAAAGCCGCGCAGAUCGCCAACGUCGUCCGCGGCUCCCUCAACCUCGUGCCCAUCGCCGGCGCUGUCCUCUCCGACUCCUACCUCGGCUGCUUCCCCGUCAUCCUCGCCGGCGCCGCCAUCAACGUUCUGGUCCGACCUCUACCGAAUUAA
rnacentral:rRNA from 1 species